AACGAACGCUGGCGGCAGCCUUAACACAUGCAAGUCGAGCGCCCUGUUUCGGCAGGGAGCGGCGGACGGGUGAGUAACGCGUGGGAACGUGCCCUUUAGUUCAGAAUAGCCACUGGAAACGGUGAGUAAUACUGGAUACGCCCUUCGGGGGAAAGAUUUAUCGCUAAAGGAUCGGCCCGCGUUGGAUUAGCUAGUUGGUGGGGUAAAGGCCUACCAAGGCGACGAUCUAUAGCUGGUUUUAGAGGAUGAUCAGCAACACUGGGACUGAGACACGGCCCAGACUCCUACGGGAGGCAGCAGUGGGGAAUCUUAGACAAUGGGGGCAACCCUGAUCUAGCCAUGCCGCGUGAGUGAUGAAGGCCUUAGGGUCGUAAAGCUCUUUCGCCUGUGAUGAUAAUGACAGUAGCAGGUAAAGAAACCCCGGCUAACUCCGUG
rnacentral:rRNA from 1 species